rnacentral:rRNA from 1 species
CGGCGCACGGGUGAGUAACACGUAUCCAACCUGCCGUCUACUCUUGGCCAGCCUUCUGAAAGGAAGAUUAAUCCAGGAUGGCAUCAUGAGUUCACAUGUCCGCAUGAUUAAAGGUAUUUUCCGGUAGACGAUGGGGAUGCGUUCCAUUAGAUAGUAGGCGGGGUAACGGCCCACCUAGUCAACGAUGGAUAGGGGUUCUGAGAGGAAGGUCCCCCACAUUGGAACUGAGACACGGUCCAAACUCCUACGGGAGGCAGCAGUGAGGAAUAUUGGUCAAUGGGCGAUGGCCUGAACCAGCCAAGUAGCGUGAAGGAUGACUGCCCUAUGGGUUGUAAACUUCUUUUAUAAAGGAAUAAAGUCGGGUAUGCAUACCCGUUUGCAUGUACUUUAUGAAUAAGGAUCGGCUAACUCCGUGCCAGCAGCCGCGGUAAUACGGAGGAUCCGAGCGUUAUCCGGAUUUAUUGGGUUUAAAGGGAGCGUAGAUGGAUGUUUAAGUCAGUUGUGAAAGUUUGCGGCUCAACCGUAAAAUUGCAGUUGAUACUGGAUGUCUUGAGUGCAGUUGAGGCAGGCGGAAUUCGUGGUGUAGCGGUGAAAUGCUUAGAUAUCACGAAGAACUCCGAUUGCGAAGGCAGCCUGCUAAGCUGCAACUGACAUUGAGGCUCGAAAGUGUGGGUAUCAAACAGG